rnacentral:rRNA from 1 species
AUUGAACGCUGGCGGCAGGCCUAACACAUGCAAGUCGAGCGGAUGAAGGGAGCUUGCUCCUGGAUUCAGCGGCGGACGGGUGAGUAAUGCCUAGGAAUCUGCCUGGUAGUGGGGGAUAACGUCCGGAAACGGGCGCUAAUACCGCAUACGUCCUGAGGGAGAAAGUGGGGGAUCUUCGGACCUCACGCUAUCAGAUGAGCCUAGGUCGGAUUAGCUAGUUGGUGGGGUAAAGGCCUACCAAGGCGACGAUCCGUAACUGGUCUGAGAGGAUGAUCAGUCACACUGGAACUGAGACACGGUCCAGACUCCUACGGGAGGCAGCAGUGGGGAAUAUUGGACAAUGGGCGAAAGCCUGAUCCAGCCAUGCCGCGUGUGUGGAGAAGGUCUUCGGACUGUAAAGCACUUUAAGUUGGGAGGAAGGGCAGUAAGUUAAUACCUUGCUGUUUUGACGUUACCAACAGAAUAAGCACCGGCUAACUUCGUG